rnacentral:misc_RNA from 1 species
UUUCCGUAGGUGAACCUGCGGAAGGAUCAUUCAUAAUAAAGUGUUUUAUGGCACUUUUUAAAAAUCCAUAUCCACCUUGUGUGCAAUGUUAGAUCUCCUCAAUCUUGGCGAGAUUUUUAUACAUCAACUCAUUCUUUAACUAAUUUGUCUGAAAAAUAUUAUGAAUACUUAAUUCAAAAUACAACUUUCAACAACGGAUCUCUUGGCUCUC